GUGGGGAAUAUUGGACAAUGGGCGCAAGCCUGAUCCAGCCAUGCCGCGUGUGUGAAGAAGGCCUUUUGGUUGUAAAGCACUUUAAGCGAGGAGGAGGCUCCUUUAGUUAAUACCUAAAGAGAGUGGACGUUACUCGCAGAAUAAGCACCGGCUAACUCUGUGCCAGCAGCCGCGGUAAUACAGAGGGUGCGAGCGUUAAUCGGAUUUACUGGGCGUAAAGCGUGCGUAGGCGGCUUUUUAAGUCGGAUGUGAAAUCCCUGAGCUUAACUUAGGAAUUGCAUUCGAUACUGGAAAGCUAGAGUAUGGGAGAGGAUGGUAGAAUUCCAGGUGUAGCGGUGAAAUGCGUAGAGAUCUGGAGGAAUACCGAUGGCGAAGGCAGCCAUCUGGCCUAAUACUGACACUGAGGUGCGAAAGCAUGGGGAGCAAACAGGAUUAGAUACCCUGGUAGUCC
rnacentral:rRNA from 1 species